rnacentral:rRNA from 1 species
GACGAACGCUGGCGGCGUGCUUAACACAUGCAAGUCGUACGGAAAGGCCCUGCUUUUGUGGGGUGCUCGAGUGGCGAACGGGUGAGUAACACGUGAGUAACCUGCCCUUGACUUUGGGAUAACUUCAGGAAACUGGGGCUAAUACCGGAUAGGAGCUCCUGCUGCAUGGUGGGGGUUGGAAAGUUUCGGCGGUUGGGGAUGGACUCGCGGCUUAUCAGCUUGUUGGUGGGGUAGUGGCUUACCAAGGCUUUGACGGGUAGCCGGCCUGAGAGGGUGACCGGCCACAUUGGGACUGAGAUACGGCCCAGACUCCUACGGGAGGCAGCAGUGGGGAAUAUUGCACAAUGGGCGGAAGCCUGAUGCAGCAACGCCGCGUGCGGGAUGACGGCCUUCGGGUUGUAACCCGCUUUCGCCUGUGACGAAGCGUGAGUGACGGUAAUGGGUAAAGAAGCACCGGCUAACUACGUG